UAAAAUUUGCCUGCCCUGAAGGGCACAGGGAAGGUUUCUGGGUUAACUGCCUGGGUGCCAGCAACUGCGGGAACAGAGUCGGCAUUGUCCCACAGGCUGGGUCCCCAGAACAGCACUGCUCUUUCUCCACAUGGAAGGCUCCACAGGGCUAAAAGCAGAGCCACACUGAGCCACCUCGCCGACAUUAGGACUGUGCCCCUCUACUCCCUCCGAGUCGGAACCUGCGGGCUGAAGCCGGGGUCCUUAAGGACUGCAGCUUCCUGCACCCAUAGGCACUGCUCCAGACUGCCACAGGGAGUGAGAAGCCAGGCUGGCUACGAGAACACCGUGAAGCCGCUUCGCUGCUAGGAAGAGGUCACUAACUCCAACCAACCCCUCCAAGAAGAGCUCUGCUAGUCUUUCCACACACUCAGUCAGCCUCAAGGCUGGGUGAGCAUCCAGGUUGGCUGACACUUAGCUUGGCUCCUGAAGACUGGUUGAGUCUGGAAAAAAAAGAUCGAGGGUCUACGAGGGAGAAAUCUGAGCUUCAUGCCACAGCUUUCCACGUGUCACAGUGCGUCAGGAUCGGACUUGUAGCAAUUCCCAAACUGCACCUCCGCUGGAGGGUACCUGUUAAAAGUGAAGCUGCUGGGGCUGCAAGGUGGAGUUCAUUUGCAGAAUGCUUCUUGGUUUCACAUCCUCUGUUUCCUCCCUCGUUUCUGUUCCUUUUCUCCACAACGUCUAAACGCCUGCUGUCUGCUGCAGUUUUUGAAAUGUGAAUAUGAAGCAAUGUUAAAGCAUGUCUGGGCGUUCUGCUCUUCUCUGGCUGCCAUGGGUGCAGGAGAAGCAUUCAGGAAACUCUGAGCAUGGGAUCCACACCUGUAAUCCCACCAUUAGGAGGCUGGAUCAGAAGAAAGUCAAGGUUAUCCUCCAGUACAUAUCAAAGUUGAAGCUACCAGGGGGUAGAGCAUUGUCCAAGAAGAAGAAGAAAAGAAGAAGGAGGAGGAAAGGAAGGAAGGAAGGAAAAGAAGAGAAGAAAAAAAAAGUGGCCCCACUGAUAUGGGCAUUAAAAGAUCAACUUCAGCUUUUAAUUUUGUAAUUAGGUAAUGCUGCCCACCUUCCAGAUCUGCUGUGUAGGCAAGGGCCCCACAUCUCUAACACCUACUAUGGGUACCUGGAUACAGCCAGGCUAGGAAGAUGCUGUGGAAUUAGUUUAUAGACCCAACUAACAAUACUGAUGGGCAGCAAACACAGUGUGUUACUCUUGUGCUGGGCAGCAGAAAGGAACCACAGCUGUCAGCCACUUGGGGUAAACAACCAGUUACUACCUGGAAUGUGGUACCAAGCUAGGGGUGUUCAGUAGCUUAGGUGUAAAAAUACAUUUGUGACUAAUAAUCUUCAACUUACAAUGAGGUUAUGAGGCUAUGCCCUCCUGUAAAUUGAGGUGCCCCAGGACCUGAGUCAGGCAACCGGGAUUUGAGUAUCACCACAUGCUGACCCAUCCAGAAUGCAUAGCCUUGAGCAUGCUAUAUUUCACAGAGAAAUCCAGCACACUGAUAACUGGGCUCUACUGCUGCAGAAAUGAUUUCCCUGGGAAAAAACAUUCAGCUCAACUUUUGCUUUUGCUGUCUCCUUCUUGGGCUCUUAUCAUCACCGCCUGGACAUCCGUGCACAUACAUAGCACAGAAAUCCUGGGGAACCUUCCUGUAUACAGCUGAGGAGAAGGCCAGUGGGUAGAACACUCGCUGUACAUUAUCUAGCUGAACUGAAGAGCUCCUGGACCAGUUAAUGAAGUGAAGAAUGAUUAGGGAAGACACCAAACAUCGACCUCCAGCCUGGCAUCUAUACACGCAAGUGUUUACUCAAAUGUGAAGGCACACAUGUAUACCAACAUACACAACACAAACACUCACCACAGAACACCUCACCGUGGACCAGCAGCUAAGAAAGGCCUGAGGCAAUGCAAAGUACACCCCUUUCCAUUUUACAGAACUCUCUCUUCUUUCCUGGCACAGGGAGGAAGCCCAGGUGAAAGCAGCCAGCUCCCCCUCCUCCCGUCCGCCCUUACCCCCCUCCACACACACACCCUCACAUCCCCACACACCUCCACGCCCAUCCCCCUCAUCCCUGUGGUGUUCGAUCUACUCUGAGUUACUCAUAUAAAAGGAAGGUGUUCAGUGGCAGCUGUAUCUCUGAGCCACCCAGGAACCACCGUGCCGGGCCUGCGUGCCGGGCAGCAGCAUCCUGCCACCAGAUGGGCUCCUCCUUUGCCAGGUGCCAUACUGCUGCAGCUGCCUUGGAGAGAGUGCACUGCCAGAGGAACUGACUGCACCAGAAGUGAUGGAAAAAGCCGCAGGAGCGAGCACCAGAUUAGAUGUCACACAGACAAGCCCGCAGGCAAAUUGUGGCCCAUCCAAGUGCAGGGUCUGUGGUCACACUUGCCUGUGGCCUAUCCCACAACUAACAAGAGUCAGAACAGCCUGCCAGACAGCCUUGCCCGUGAGUGCCAGGCUCAGCUGAAAUGCACCCUCUCCUUGGCACAUCUAUUCAUCCCACAGGCAGCAAACUUUCUCACAGCUGGGCCUUCCCUAUAGCCUGUCUACACACUCAAGAGAUUUGGGCCUUAUUUCCCACCCUCUUAGCACCAUUCCCAUUUCCUCCUCUCCACUGGCAGUCUCAAGCAGGUUCUACCCAUCUAUCCCCUGGCUCCUGGUGACAUCUGCUCACGGCCCUACUCCCCUCUGGUCUUUCAGACAGCGGCUUCCACUGGAGCCCAUGAAAAUGCUUUGUACUUUCCCUCAGCCCAUGGCCCAGCACACAGCCCCAAGACUGCACAGGUAUGUGUAGAUUGGCUGACUUCAGCGCUUUUGGGUGUCCUCGGGUAAAUGACUCUAAGAAGAUGUUGGCAGGGAGGGUGAGGGCUCUUCUAUUUCACCUCCUGGCACAAGUGUGAACAGAUCAAAUACUGGCAUGGCUUUAUCACCAGCGAAUAUGCAGGCAGGUUUCCCUGAGCAGGGAGCAAAGCCUACUUUCACCCUCCUAGGGGAACCCUGGUAGAAACUGAGAUGGCAGGCUUGGGGCUCACUCCUAGAAACCCAACACUCCAGAGGCUGAGGCAGGAGGAUGUUGUGAGUUCAAGGCCAGCCUGGAUUAUGUAGCAAGAUCUUAUUUUUUUUUAAUAAAACAUUAUUUUAUGAAAUAAAAAUAACUGUCAUUAUUGGUGACACAAGUGUUGUGACCCCAACACUUGGGAGUCAGAGGCAGGGGCAUCGCUGCACAUUCUAGGUGAGCCUGGACUACAGACUCAAACAAAAAUGGUAUGUAUCUGGGGUAGGGGUCAUGAUGGAACACACCUAUAAAUUCAAGUGUUAGAACGCUGAGUCAGAAGGAUAAGUUCAAGGACAAUUUGAGCCAUCUAUGGAGACCCUGUCUCCUAAACAAUAACUAACCCAAACAAAAAAACCAACAGAACCAGAGAUCACUGGACCCAGAGGUACAGAGCCCAGAGUGCUCAGGAGCCUGAGAAUUGAAUUCUUUAGCUCCAGGUGGUAGCUGAUACUGCUGGUCUUGGGACCCUACUCUGAGAGACCUGGCUCUGUAUUUCAAGGAUGAGGUCUGCUUAAACCCCCGGAUUCUAUCACUUUGGGGAUCUACAGAAGAAAGGAUGGCUGUCCCCUCAUGCUCCCUUCACUAUUUGAGCCUGUAACUCAGCUCUCUCCUGUGCCUUGCAUAAAUACUCAUGGCUGGUUUGAAGUGCCCCCUUGUGGCCUACAUGAAAGCCAACCUGCUCUUUAAUGCUUUUGCCUUUACCCUCAAUAAGGUAAGCCAACUCUUAAAUUGUAUCCGCCUGACCAAAACAUAAAAAUAAAAAAUAAAUGAUGAAACAUACAGUAAAAGAAGUUAGGUAUUAGUAUUUGGUAUUCAUAGACCUUCAGACAUUUUCUGUUUGUCUGGAGUGUUCUCAGACUACAAACACUGCCAGCCUAGAAGUCUGUCAUAUACUGAAUGUGUUCGCUUUGGAGGACACAUUCUUUAGAGUCUUUAAAUUGGAGUCAUAGGGCUAAUAAUAAUAAAAUCUGUUGUUUAUAUUUUCUAAUUGUGACUGAACUUGUAACCCUGGACAUGUAAUGAAAAAUUAAAGAUAUAAUCUAUA